ACGGGGACCCGCACAAGCCGGUGGAUGAUGUUGGUUUUAAUUCGAUGCAACGACGAAAACCUUACCCACCUUUGACAUGUACGGAAUCCUUUAGAGAUAGAGGAGUGCUCGAAAGAGAACCUGCACACAGGUGCUGCAUGGCUGUCGUCAGCUCGUGUCGUGAGAUGUUGGGUUAAGUCCCGCAACGAGCGCAACCCUUGCCAUUAGUUGCUACGAAAGGGCACUCUAAUGGGACUGCCGGUGACAAACCGGAGGAAGGUGGGGAUGACGUCAAGUCCUCAUGGCCCUUAUAGGUGGGGCUACACACGUCAUACAAUGGCCGGUACAGAGGGUAGCCAACCCGCGAGGGGGAGCCAAUCCCACAAAGCCGGUCGUAGUCCGGAUCGCAGUCUGCAACUCGACUGCGUGAAGUCGGAAUCGCUAGUAAUCGCGGAUCAGCAUGUCGCGGUGAAUACGUUCCCGGGUCUU
rnacentral:rRNA from 1 species